UGGUCAAGGCCUGUCGCCGCUGUAUGUGCAGCAGCAGCAGCAGCACACGCUCAGGCCACA
rnacentral:precursor_RNA from 1 species